UACGUAGGUGGCGAGCGUUGUCCGGAUUUACUGGGCGUAAAGAGCGCGCAGGCGGUCGUACAAGUCGCGUGUGAAAGCCCCCGGCUCAACUGGGGAGGGUCACGCGAUACUGUUCGACUCGAAGGCAGGAGAGGGAAGUGGAAUUCCCGGUGUAGUGGUGAAAUGCGUAGAUAUCGGGAGGAACACCAGUGGCGAAGGCGACUUCCUGGCCUGUUCUUGACGCUGAGGCGCG
rnacentral:rRNA from 1 species